rnacentral:rRNA from 1 species
CAGUAGCCACGGUAAUACAGAGUGUGCGAGCGUUAAUCGGAUUUACUGGGCGUAAAGCGUGCGUAGGCGGCUUUUUAAGUCGGAUGUGAAAUCCCUGAGCUUAACUUAGGAAUUGCAUUCGAUACUGGGAAGCUAGAGUAUGGGAGAGGAUGGUAGAAUUCCAGGUGUAGCGGUGAAAUGCGUAGAGAUCUGGAGGAAUACCGAUGGCGAAGGCAGCCAUCUGGCCUAAUACUGACGCUGAGGUACGAAAGCAUGGGGAGCAAACAGGAUUAGAUACCCCCGUAGUCCCUGUCUCUUAUAC